rnacentral:rRNA from 1 species
AUAUAUAGUUUAACCUGCUCACUGAUUUUUUUAAAGAGCCGCAGUAUUCUGACUGUGCAAAGGUAGCAUAAUAGAUUGUCUUUUAAUUGAAGGCUUGAAUGAACGGUUGGACAAGGUAUUAUCUGUUUCUUAAAUAUAAUUUGAAUUUUACUUUUAAGUGAAAAGGCUUAAAUAUCUCAAAAAGACGAUAAGACCCUAUAAAUCUUUACAAAAUUCUUGUUUUAAGUUUUUAAUUAGACGUUCGAUGAAAUAUAAAAUAAGUUUUUGUUGCGCUGGGGCGGCGUAGAUAUAAAAUAAACUGUUUAUUAAAUUUAAACAAUUAUUAUUGAUUUAGACUAUAAGUGAUCCUUUAAUAGAUUAAAAGACUAAGAUACUUUAGGGAUAACAGCGUUAUUUUUUCUAAGAGUCCUUAUCGAAGAAAAAGUUUGCGACCUCGAUGUUGAAUUAAAGUUUCUUUAUGGUGUAGCAGUUAUAAAAGAAAGUCUGUUCGACUUUUAAAACUUUACAUGAUUU